GACGAACGCUGGCGGCGUGCUUAACACAUGCAAGUCGAACGGAAAGGCCCUGCUUUUGUGGGGUGCUCGAGUGGCGAACGGGUGAGUAACACGUGAGUAACCUGCCCUUGACUUUGGGAUAACUUCAGGAAACUGGGGCUAAUACCGGAUAGGAGCUCCUGCUGCAUGGUGGGGGUUGGAAAGUUUCGGCGGGUGGGGAUGGACUCGCGGCUUAUCAGCUUGUUGGUGGGGUAGUGGCUUACCAAGGCUUUGACGGGUAGCCGACCUGAGAGGGUGACAGGUCACAUUGGUACGUAGAUACGGCCCAGGUUACUACGGGAGGCAGUAGUGGGGAACCUUGCACAAUGGGCGGAAGCCGGAUGCAGCAACGCCGGGUGGGGGAUGACGGCCUUCGGGUGGUAACCCGAUUUCGCAUGUGACGAAGCGUGAGGAACGAGAAUGGGUAAAGAAGCACCGGCGAAAUACGC
rnacentral:rRNA from 1 species